CCUACGGGUGGCAGCAGUCGGGAAUCUUGGGCAAUGGGCGCAAGCCUGACCCAGCGACGCCGCGUGAGGGAUGAAGGCCUUCGGGUCGUAAACCUCUGGCGGGAGGGAAGAAUGGCGGCAGGGCGAAUAGUCCUGUCGUUUGACGGUACCUCCAAAGGAAGCGCCGGCUAACUCCGUGCCAGCAGCCGCGGUAAUACGGCGGGCGCAAGCGUUCUUCGGAAUCACUGGGCGUAAAGCGCGAGUAGGAGGUGAAAGCCCUAGGCUCAACCUCGGAACGGCAUUCGAAACUGCUCGGCUCGAGUCCCGGAGAGGAUGGCGGAAUUCCCGGUGUAGGGGUGAAAUCCGUAGAUAUCGGGAGGAACACCAGUGGCGAAGGCGGCCAUCUGGACGGUGACUGACGCUGAGACGCGAAAGCGUGGGGAGCAAACAGGAUUAGAUACCCUAGUAGUC
rnacentral:rRNA from 1 species